rnacentral:rRNA from 1 species
GUGGGGAAUUUUGGACAAUGGGCGCAAGCCUGAUCCAGCAAUGCCGCGUGUAGGAAGAAGGCCUUCGGGUUGUAAACUGCUUUUGUACGGAACGAAACGGUCCGGGUUAAUACCCUGGGCUAAUGACGGUACCGUAAGAAUAAGCACCGGCUAACUACGUGCCAGCAGCCGCGGUAAUACGUAGGGUGCAAGCGUUAAUCGGAAUUACUGGGCGUAAAGCGUGCGCAGGCGGUUUUGUAAGACAGGCGUGAAAUCCCCGGGCUCAACCUGGGAAUUGCGCUUGUGACUGCAAGGCUGGAGUGCGGCAGAGGGGGAUGGAAUUCCGCGUGUAGCAGUGAAAUGCGUAGAUAUGCGGAGGAACACCGAUGGCGAAGGCAAUCCCCUGGGCCUGCACUGACGCUCAUGCACGAAAGCGUGGGGAGCAAACAGGAUUAGAAACCCGGGUAGUCC